rnacentral:rRNA from 1 species
GAACUUAAGCAUAUCAAUAAGCGGAGGAAAAGAAACCAACAGGGAUUGCCUUAGUAACGGCGAGUGAAGCGGCAACAGCUCAAAUUUGAAAUCUGGCUCUUUUAGAGUCCGAGUUGUAAUUUGUAGAAGAUGCUUUGGGUGUAGCUCCGGUCUAAGUUCCUUGGAACAGGACGUCAUAGAGGGUGAGAAUCCCGUAUGUGACUGGGUGCUUUCGCUCGUGUAAAGCUCUUUCGACGAGUCGAGUUGUUUGGGAAUGCAGCUCAAAAUGGGUGGUAAAUUUCAUCUAAAGCUAAAUAUUGGCCAGAGACCGAUAGCGCACAAGUAGAGUGAUCGAAAGAUGAAAAGCACUUUGGAAAGAGAGUUAAACAGUACGUGAAGUUGUUGAAAGGGAAGCGCUUGCAAUCAGACUUGCGCGCUGUUGAUCAUCCGAGCUUUUGCCCGGUGCACUCGGCAGCGUUCAGGCCAGCAUCGGUUUUGGUGGGCGGAUAAAGGCCUUGGGAAUGUAGCUUCUUUCGGGGGGUGUUAUAGCCCUCGGUGCAAUGCGCCCUACCAGGACCGAGGACCGCGCUUCGGCUAGGAUGCUGGCGUAAUGGUUGUAAGCGACCCGUCUUGAAACACGGACCAAGGAGUCUAACAUCUAUGCGAGUGUUUGGGUGUCAAACCCAUACGCGUAAUGAAAGUGAACGGAGGUGAGAACCCUUAAGGGUGCAUCAUCGACCGAUCCUGAUGUCUUCGGAUGGAUUUGAGUAAGAGCAUAGCUGUUGGGACCCGAAA